AUAUAAUCUUAUAAUGAAGUACAAUUGACUCAAAAUGGGAAUUCGACUAUUUAAUUAAAACAAAGCAUUGUGAUGGUCCCUACAGAUGCUGACACAAUGUGAUUUAUAGCUAGUGUUAUGCAUGUCAAAGUGAAAAAAUUCAACCAAGCGUGGGUAAACAGUGGGAGUAAUUAUGGCUAUCUUAAGGUAGCGAGAUGCUUCAUCAUCUAAAUAGUGACAUGCAUGAAUGGAUUAACAAGAUUUUCACUGCCCCUAUCUACUA
rnacentral:ncRNA from 1 species